rnacentral:rRNA from 1 species
AACGAACGCUGGCGGCAUGCCUAACACAUGCAAGUCGAACGAGACCUUCGGGGCGAGUGUCGCACGGGGGUGUAACGCGUGGGGAUAUGCCCUUGUGUGCGGAAUAACUCGCCGAAAGGCGUGCUAUAACCGGAUGAUAACGUAAGUCCAAAGAUUUAUCGCCCAAGGAGGAGCCCGCGUUGGAUUAGCUAGUUGGUGAGGUAAAGGCUCACCAAGGCGACGAUCCAUAGCUGGUCUGAGAGGAUGAUCAGCCACACUGGGACUGAGACACGGCCCAGACUCCUACGGGAGGCAGCAGUGGGGAAUAUUGGACAAUGGGCGAAAGCCUGAUCCAGCAAUGCCGCGUGAGUGAUGAAGGCCUUAGGGUUGUAAAGCUCUUUUACCCGGGAUGAUAAUGACGGUACCGGGAGAAUAAGCCCCGGCUAACUCCGUG